GUGCAAUGGUUUCAGAGUGGAAGGGGAUGUCAUUCUUGUUUAGCAGGGGCUGCAAGUUCUAUCGCUAUAAGCCUGACUUGCAGCGGCAACAACAGAUUCAGAUGUGGUAAGCUCAUUCAUUCAUUCUCUCAGGAGAAGAGGACCAAAUUGAUUCAAAUUUUGUGUUCUGAUCUUAAUGUUGCGAGGUUUGCGAUCGCAUGUAUGGUCGGGACUGCGUGGGUCCGGCGACCAAUUGUUUGCAUCUCUUGCUGUAUGGUGAUGAUGACCGGCUCCUGUUAAAUCCAAUACGACUGCACUUCUUCGCUUCAGGAAGAAGAUACAGAAGAACAAGGCUGCACACAAGGAGUUGCCUGAAUUGCAGUGGCAGCGGUGUUGUAAUAUGAAUCAAGCUUGUGAAGAAAAAUUUUGUUACUUUAAUGACACACACUUGCAUUCCACAUCCCACAUCGAACCUUCCAGACUCAUCCAAGUGACCAUUUGCAACAUCCUUUUCCGGUCAAUCUGGAUUAUUUCAAGGUUUUCAUCACUCUGGUCUGCACAACAUUC